rfam:Triticum urartu cultivar G1812 contig427248, whole genome shotgun sequence.
UUUCUACUCCCUCCGUCCAAAAAUACUUGUCAUCAAAAUGGAUAAAAAGAGAUGUAUCUAAAACUAAAAUAUGUCUAGAUACAUUUCCUUUUAUCCAUUUUGAUGACAAGUAUUUCCGGACGGAGGGAGUAUUUG